rnacentral:rRNA from 1 species
AACGCUGGCGGCGUGCUUAACACAUGCAAGUCGGACGGAAAGGCCCUGCUUUUGUGGGGUGCUCGAGUGGCGAACGGGUGAGUAGCACGUGAGUAACCUGCCCUUGACUUUGGGAUAACUUCAGGAAACUGGGGCUAAUACCGGAUAGGAGCUCCUGCUGCAUGGUGGGGGUUGGAAAGUUUCGGCGGUUGGGGAUGGACUCGCGGCUUAUCAGCUUGUUGGUGGGGUAGUGGCUUACCAAGGCUUUGACGGGUAGCCGGCCUGAGAGGGUGACCGGCCACAUUGGGACUGAGAUACGGCCCAGACUCCUACGGGAGGCAGCAGUGGGGAAUAUUGCACAAUGGGCGGAAGCCUGAUGCAGCAACGCCGCGUGCGGGAUGACGGCCUUCGGGUUGUAAACCGCUUUCGCCUGUGACGAAGCGUGAGUGACGGUAAUGGGUAAAGAAGCACCGGCUAACUACGUG